GGAUCUCUGUGGAAGGGAGAAUCACCUCCACUCCUCCUUCAUCCUCCACUCCACUGACCAUCACCUCCAUCUCUCUUACUUCUGGUUCAUCUUUUCCCACCAUCACAGUCGUUUCUGCCAUUUUUAUCUUUCUGGUUUUGCUCUCAUUAAUUCUUCUGGUUCUUCUGGUGAGACGAUGUUUCUGCAGGAAACCUGAAGCUGAAGAAGGAAAAGAUGGAGGAAAGGAAAUGAGAGAACUGAAAACCUUCAUUAACCAGCUGCAGCCAAUCAGGAGCAGCAGAGGAACCUCUACAUGUGUCCUCUACUCAGCGCUGAGGACAGACGUCCUCCAGGGACAGAUCGUCUGCAGAGCCACAGCGGCUCCAGUCUGAGGGAACCUGGUCCAGAUUUUCUCUUCCAGCUCCAGAAAACACAGCAGAAAGUUCUGGAGCUGCUUUCCAAACCUUUAACAUCUGGUCCACAGUUUCUUUUCAAGCAUGUUAAGAUAAAUGUGUGUUUUGCUUUCCUUGCUCUUGUGCAGGAUUUUAUACUACAAUCAUGUUUGGAAUAAAUAAACAGCAUGAAACCC